rnacentral:rRNA from 1 species
GGUUGACCUCGGAUCAGGUAGGAAUACCCGCUGAACUUAAGCAUAUCAAUAAGCGGRGGAAAAGAAACCAACMGGGAUUGCCCUAGUAACGGCGAGUGAAGCGGCAACAGCUCAAAUUUGAAAUCUGGCCUUCGGGUCCGAGUUGUAAUUUGCAGAGGAUGCUUUUGGCGCGGUGCCUUCCGAGUUCCCUGGAACGGGACGCCUUAGAGGGUGAGAGCCCCGUACGGUUGGACACCAAGCCUCUGUAAAGCUCCUUCGACGAGUCGAGUAGUUUGGGAAUGCUGCUCUAAAUGGGAGGUAAAUUUCUUCUAAAGCUAAAUACCGGCCAGAGACCGAUAGCGCACAAGUAGAGUGAUCGAAAGAUGAAAAGCACUUUGAAAAGAGGGUUAAAUAGCACGUGAAAUUGUUGAAAGGGAAGCGUUUACGGCCAGACCUUUUCCUGGCGGAUCAUCUGGUGUUCUCACCAGUGCACUUCGCCAGGUUUAGGCCAGCAUCGGCUUCUGUAGGGGGAUAAAAGCAGUGGGAAAGUAGCUCCCUCGGGAGUGUUAUAGCCCUAAGCAUAAUACC